rnacentral:rRNA from 1 species
GCAGUCGAGCGGACAGAAGGGAGCUUGCUCCCGGAUGUUAGCGGCGGACGGGUGAGUAACACGUGGGUAACCUGCCUGUAAGACUGGGAUAACUCCGGGAAACCGGAGCUAAUACCGGAUAGUUCCUUGAACCGCAUGGUUCAAGGAUGAAAGACGGUUUCGGCUGUCACUUACAGAUGGACCCGCGGCGCAUUAGCUAGUUGGUGAGGUAACGGCUCACCAAGGCGACGAUGCGUAGCCGACCUGAGAGGGUGAUCGGCCACACUGGGACUGAGACACGGCCCAGACUCCUACGGGAGGCAGCAGUAGGGAAUCUUCCGCAAUGGACGAAAGUCUGACGGAGCAACGCCGCGUGAGUGAUGAAGGUUUUCGGAUCGUAAAGCUCUGUUGUUAGGGAAGAACAAGUGCAAGAGUAACUGCUUGCACCUUGACGGUACCUAACCAGAAAGCCACGGCUAACUACGUGCCAGCAGCCGCGGUAAUACGUAGGUGGCAAGCGUUGUCCGGAAUUAUUGGGCGUAAAGGGCUCGCAGGCGGUUUCUUAAGUCUGAUGUGAAAGCCCCCGGCUCAACCGGGGAGGGUCAUUGGAAACUGGGAAACUUGAGUGCAGAAGAGGAGAGUGGAAUUCCACGUGUAGCGGUGAAAUGCGUAGAGAUGUGGAGGAACACCAGUGGCGAAGGCGACUCUCUGGUCUGUAACU